AGCCCUGGGGUGUAAACACGUGGGGUUGCAAACCCCAAGAUGCAGGUAAUACCUGCCGGGGCUU
rnacentral:tRNA from 1 species